rnacentral:rRNA from 1 species
GAUGAACGCUGGCGGCGUGCCUAAUACAUGCAAGUCGAGCGAACGGACGAGAAGCUUGCUUCUCUGAUGUUAGCGGCGGACGGGUGAGUAACACGUGGAUAGCCUACCUAUAAGACUGGGAUAACUUCGGGAAACCGUAGCUAAUACCGGAUAAUAUUUUGAACCGCAUGGUUCAAAAGUGAAAGACGGUCUUGCUGUCACUUAUAGAUGGAUCCGCGCUGCAUUAGCUAGUUGGUAAGGUAACGGCUUACCAAGGCAACGAUGCAUAGCCGACCUGAGAGGGUGAUCGGCCACACUGGAACUGAGACACGGUCCAGACUCCUACGGGAGACAGCAGUAGGGAAUCUUCCGCAAUGGGCGAAAGCCUGACGGAGCAACGCCGCGUGAGUGAUGAAGGUCUUCGGAUCGUAAAACUCUGUUAUUAGGGAAGAACAUAUGUGUAAGUAACUGUGCACAUCUUGACGGUACCUAAUCAGAAAGCCACGGCUAACUACGUG